AGCGCAACGUGCCCAGAUGCUACUGCAUUCUCUGUCUCCUCCACACCCUCCAGGCUGUACUUUUUAUCCUUGGUCUUAUGUAGGAAAAGUCUCUUAAAGGUGGAUCUGCGGGACACAGGAAGUGGUUUUGUCUUUGCAGUGUUUUUGAGACAGGGUCUUACUAUGUAGUCCAGGCAGGCCUAGGACUUGUGGGGAUUCUCCUGCCUCAUCUUCCCGAGAGCUGCGAUCACAGUCAGGCACCACCAUGCCUGGCAGGAAGUGGUUUCUCUUCUUUUUUUCAGUACAGGAGAUUGAGCCCAGGGAGCACCAAGCUACACCCUACUUUAAAUUUUUAGCUGAGAUUACUGGUGAGUGCUACCACCCCUGGCUGAGAUUCUAUUUACAUAUUAAAAGUAAUAAAAAGGGCUGGGAUGGGCCAGGGGUUUAGCUUAGUGGUUCCACCACCUGCUUCGCAAGUGGAAGGUCCUGAGUUCAAUCCCUGGUACCAAAAAAAAAGUAUUAAAAUUACUCUCUCCUCUCCUUGUAUGGGAACAAACACUGCCUGUGAACUGUGGCUGCUGCCUGAGUGAGGCAGGUACCUGCUGGUCGGGGUGGGCUUCGAGGGUGGCCCUUAUGGGGCCUCUGGUGCAAUCAGGGUGUGAAAUGCCCCCAACGCACGCACUGUGCGAUGGAACCCAAUGUGGCGAUGGGCAGAGGUGGGGUCCAGGUGCCGCCCUUAGCCUGAUGAGCCUGCUAUGCUGACAGCGGCAGGGGCUGCUGGGAGCUGUGCCCUGAGGGCCAGUGCUGUCCCCAGACCUGCUCUUCUUUCUGCCCUCUGCUUCCCGGCACGAUGCUCUUGCCCUGGGCUGGCGACCAAGGACUGAAGCCCUGGAAACCGAGUCAAAUGGGCUCCGGGGAGCUGCCCAGCACAGCCCCUCUUGCUCCAAUGUGUACUGCGGGUCCCUCCGCCCGAUCAUGAGCAGUCUGGGCGAGCAGGCUGCCUGUGGCCUUGGCAGGGACCACAGGCAUCCUCUGGUGGCCCAUGCCCCUAGCCCCUUACUUGGAGUCGGCCUGGGAGCCCGGCGAGAGCCCUGCGUCUGGGCCAGAGGACGCGUCACCUGACUUCUUCUUGUGCACGGCCGGCUUCUUGGUGCUGGGGUCCCCGCCAGCUUCGGGGGAAGGCUGUGGGGCGGGGGGCAGGCUGGGUGAGGCGAGCAGGCCCGCUCUGCUGCGGACAGUGGGACCCCUGCGUGCACUAUGCUUGCCACUGUGUGCCCUCCUUUGGCGGGGGAUAGGGCGCAGAGCCUCACGUGAGGUGGGGAAGCACUCACCACUGAGCUGCACCUCAGUGAGAGGUGAAUCUCCUAAACUGAUCAGGGUGGGCUCAGACUUGAGAUCCUCCUGCCUCAGUCUUCCUAACGGCUGGGAUCACCACACCCAGCUAUUCCACUUCUCUGUUAAUUGUCCCUGAGGGCCAAG
rnacentral:lncRNA from 1 species